GACAAGUAAGUGUCGGUGGGGGGGGGAGUACGGAGGGUGCGGGGGGUUUGUGGAGUUAGUGGUCGGAAAGGGCUCGUAGGCGGGUUGGUGCGACGGGGGUGGAAACGCAGGGCUGAACUCUGAGCCUGCUUCCUAUACGGGCAGACUGGAGGUAUGCAGGGGAGAACGGAAUUCCUGGUGUAGCGGUGAAAUGCGCAGAUAUCAGGAGGAACACCGGUGGCGAAGGCGGUUCUCUGGGCAUUACCUGACGCUGAGGAGCGAAAGUGUGGGGAGCGAACAGGAUUAGAUACCCUUGUAGUC
rnacentral:rRNA from 1 species